GGUUAAGCGACUAAGCGUACACGGUGGAUGCCCUGGCAGUCAGAGGCGAUGAAGGACGUGCUAAUCUGCGAUAAGCGUCGGUAAGGUGAUAUGAACCGUUAUAACCGGCGAUUUCCGAAUGGGGAAACCCAGUGUGAUUCGUCACACUAUCAUUAACUGAAUCCAUAGGUUAAUGAGGCGAACCGGGGGAACUGAAACAUCUAAGUACCCCGAGGAAAAGAAAUCAACCGAGAUUCCCCCCAGUAGCGGCGAGCGAACGGGGAGGAGCCCAGAGCCUGAAUCAGUGUGUGUGUUAGUGGAAGCGUCUGGAAAGGCGCGCGAUACAGGGUGACAGCCCCGUACACAAAAAUGCACAUGCUGUGAGCUCGAUGAGUAGGGCGGGACACGUGGUAUCCUGUCUGAAUAUGGGGGGACCAUCCUCCAAGGCUAAAUACUCCUGACUGACCGAUAGUGAACCAGUACCGUGAGGGAAAGGCGAAAAGAACCCCGGCGAGGGGAGUGAAAAAGAACCUGAAACCGUGUACGUACAAGCAGUGGGAGCCUCUUAAUGGGGUGACUGCGUACCUUUUGUAUAAUGGGUCAGCGACUUAUAUUCUGUAGCAAGGUUAACCGAAUAGGGGAGCCGAAGGGAAACCGAGUCUUAACUGGGCGUUAAGUUGCAGGGUAUAGACCCGAAACCCGGUGAUCUAGCCAUGGGCAGGUUGAAGGUUGGGUAACACUAACUGGAGGACCGAACCGACUAAUGUUGAAAAAUUAGCGGAUGACUUGUGGCUGGGGGUGAAAGGCCAAUCAAACCGGGAGAUAGCUGGUUCUCCCCGAAAGCUAUUUAGGUAGCGCCUCGUGAAUUCAUCUCCGGGGGUAGAGCACUGUUUCGGCAAGGGGGUCAUCCCGACUUACCAACCCGAUGCAAACUGCGAAUACCGGAGAAUGUUAUCACGGGAGACACACGGCGGGUGCUAACGUCCGUCGUGAAGAGGGAAACAACCCAGACCGCCAGCUAAGGUCCCAAAGUCAUGGUUAAGUGGGAAACGAUGUGGGAAGGCCCAGACAGCCAGGAUGUUGGCUUAGAAGCAGCCAUCAUUUAAAGAAAGCGUAAUAGCUCACUGGUCGAGUCGGCCUGCGCGGAAGAUGUAACGGGGCUAAACCAUGCACCGAAGCUGCGGCAGCGACACUAUGUGUUGUUGGGUAGGGGAGCGUUCUGUAAGCCUGUGAAGGUGGCCUGUGAGGGUUGCUGGAGGUAUCAGAAGUGCGAAUGCUGACAUAAGUAACGAUAAAGCGGGUGAAAAGCCCGCUCGCCGGAAGACCAAGGGUUCCUGUCCAACGUUAAUCGGGGCAGGGUGAGUCGACCCCUAAGGCGAGGCCGAAAGGCGUAGUCGAUGGGAAACAGGUUAAUAUUCCUGUACUUGGUGUUACUGCGAAGGGGGGACGGAGAAGGCUAUGUUGGCCGGGCGACGGUUGUCCCGGUUUAAGCGUGUAGGCUGGUUUUCCAGGCAAAUCCGGAAAACCAAGGCUGAGGCGUGAUGACGAGGCACUACGGUGCUGAAGUGACAAAUGCCCUGCUUCCAGGAAAAGCCUCUAAGCAUCAGGUAACAUCAAAUCGUACCCCAAACCGACACAGGUGGUCAGGUAGAGAAUACCAAGGCGCUUGAGAGAACUCGGGUGAAGGAACUAGGCAAAAUGGUGCCGUAACUUCGGGAGAAGGCACGCUGAUAUGUAGGUGAAGCGACUUGCUCGUGGAGCUGAAAUCAGUCGAAGAUACCAGCUGGCUGCAACUGUUUAUUAAAAACACAGCACUGUGCAAACACGAAAGUGGACGUAUACGGUGUGACGCCUGCCCGGUGCCGGAAGGUUAAUUGAUGGGGUUAGCGGUAACGCGAAGCUCUUGAUCGAAGCCCCGGUAAACGGCGGCCGUAACUAUAACGGUCCUAAGGUAGCGAAAUUCCUUGUCGGGUAAGUUCCGACCUGCACGAAUGGCGUAAUGAUGGCCAGGCUGUCUCCACCCGAGACUCAGUGAAAUUGAACUCGCUGUGAAGAUGCAGUGUACCCGCGGCAAGACGGAAAGACCCCGUGAACCUUUACUAUAGCUUGACACUGAACAUUGAGCCUUGAUGUGUAGGAUAGGUGGGAGGCUUUGAAGUGUGGACGCCAGUCUGCAUGGAGCCGACCUUGAAAUACCACCCUUUAAUGUUUGAUGUUCUAACGUUGGCCCCUAAUCGGGGUUGCGGACAGUGUCUGGUGGGUAGUUUGACUGGGGCGGUCUCCUCCUAAAGAGUAACGGAGGAGCACGAAGGUUGGCUAAUCCUGGUCGGACAUCAGGAGGUUAGUGCAAUGGCAUAAGCCAGCUUGACUGCGAGCGUGACGGCGCGAGCAGGUGCGAAAGCAGGUCAUAGUGAUCCGGUGGUUCUGAAUGGAAGGGCCAUCGCUCAACGGAUAAAAGGUACUCCGGGGAUAACAGGCUGAUACCGCCCAAGAGUUCAUAUCGACGGCGGUGUUUGGCACCUCGAUGUCGGCUCAUCACAUCCUGGGGCUGAAGUAGGUCCCAAGGGUAUGGCUGUUCGCCAUUUAAAGUGGUACGCGAGCUGGGUUUAGAACGUCGUGAGACAGUUCGGUCCCUAUCUGCCGUGGGCGCUGGAGAACUGAGGGGGGCUGCUCCUAGUACGAGAGGACCGGAGUGGACGCAUCACUGGUGUUCGGGUUGUCAUGCCAAUGGCACUGCCCGGUAGCUAAAUGCGGAAGAGAUAAGUGCUGAAAGCAUCUAAGCACGAAACUUGCCCCGAGAUGAGUUCUCCCUGAGACUUAGAGUCUCCUGAAGGAACGUUGAAGACGACGACGUUGAUAGGCCGGGUGUGUAAGCGCAGCGAUGCGUUGAGCUAACCGGUACUAAUGAACCGUGAGGCUUAACCUU
rnacentral:rRNA from 1 species